rnacentral:rRNA from 1 species
UACGGGGGGGGCAAGCGUUGUUCGGAAUUACUGGGCGUAAAGCGCACGCAGGUGGCUGAGUCAGUCGAUUGUGAAGCCCUGGGCUUAACCUGGGAAUUGCAGUCGAUACUACUCAGCUAGAGUAUGGGAGAGGGUAGUGGAAUUCCCGGUGUAGCGGUGAAAUGCGUAGAUAUCGGGAGGAACAUCAGUGGCGAAGGCGGCUACCUGGCCCAAUACUGACACUCAGG